rnacentral:rRNA from 1 species
AGCUUGCUCCGCUGACGAGUGGCGAACGGGUGAGUAAUAUAUCGGAACGUGCCCUAGAGUGGGGGAUAACGUAGCGAAAGUUACGCUAAUACCGCAUACGAUCUACGGAUGAAAGUGGGGGAUCGCAAGACCUCAUGCUCAUGGAGCGGCCGAUAUCUGAUUAGCUAGUUGGUAGGGUAAAAGCCUACCAAGGCUUCGAUCAGUAGCUGGUCUGAGAGGACGACCAGCCACACUGGGACUGAGACACGGCCCAGACUCC